UACGUAGGGGGCAAGCGUUGUCCGGAUUUAUUGGGCGUAAAGAGCGUGUAGGCGGCUAGGUAGGUGGGUUGUGAAAACUGGAGGCUCAACCUUCAGACGUCGACCCAAACCCCCUGGCUAGAGUCCGGAAGAGGAGAGUGGAAUUCCUGGUGUAGCGGUGAAAUGCGUAGAUAUCUGCAGGAACACCCGUGGCGAAAGCGGCGCGCUGGACCACUACUGACGCUGAGGAACGAAAGCUAGGGGAGCAAACAGG
rnacentral:rRNA from 1 species